rfam:Rattus norvegicus chromosome 1, whole genome shotgun sequence.
GGGGAUUUAGCUCAGUGGUAGAGUGCUUGCCUAGCAAGCGCAAGGCCCUGGGUUCGGUUCCCAGCUCCA